AGGUGAUGGAGUUGACAACCAACUCCCCUUGAGUUUAGACGCUAAAAACCAUCCCUUUUUAUAUUUAUGUGAUUAGCCCAGGGAAACUAAGGCUCAGACAUGGAUAAUACCACAGCCGAGUUCUUGUAGCCCAACUCCCUAGGGGAAAUGAAACCUACAGUUGUGGUUUUAAUAUGCUUGGCCCAGGGGCAGUGGCCCUAUUGGCAGGAGUGGCCUUAUUAGCGGAGGUGUACCUUGUUAGAGGAAGUGUGUCACUUGGAGGCGAGGUUUUGAGGUACGUAUGCUCAAGUCUGGCCAGUGUGAUCCUGGCUGUCUGCAGAACGUGGUCUCCUUCUGGCUGCCUUCGGAUCAAGGUGUAGAACUCUCAGCUCCUUCUCCAGCACCAUGUCUGCCUGCUUAAUGCUUUGCUUCUUUCCAUGACGAUAAUGAACUGUGCCUCUGAAACUGUAAGUCAGCCCCCCAGUUACAUGUUUUCUUUUAUAAGAGUUGCAUAUAUAUAUGUAUGUGUCUCACUCUUUAGCUCUGGCUGGCCUGAAAUUCACUAUGUAGCCCAGGAUUGCCUGAACUUUGAAGCAAUCUUCCUGCCUCAGCCUCCCAAUGGUAUUACAGGCAUGAGUCACAACAAGCCAUUUAAAUCUUAUGAUGACUUAUAAGAAGACAGAAAAUCAGAGUUCCUUUACCUAGUUCACAGAUCCCUACAAUCUAACCUCGUUCGCUCCAUAAACAGCCCUACCCCACCCUCCUGGAACUGCUUUGAGGAAUGCUGCAGGCUCUCACAGGCACACUCCUCCUUGGUUAAUCUCUUCAGCCUGGUUGCCUUCCCCCCCCAUGUCCAUGUGGCCCAAAGCCUCUCAUCCUGUUCUCAAAUACCACUAGCUAGUAAGGCCUCCCCGACCUGACCCCGGUUUAAAUAUUAGAAAAGGGUCACUUUCUCCCCUGCCACAGACAACCAAACCACCAUAUGCUUGUCACUUACUACCUGACUAUGAAGGUUAAUAGAUGUCUUCACAACCUUUCUCUGAGCCUCAGUUUCCCCACCUGCAUAAUGCAUCUGAGACACAGAAUUCCCUAGAGCUGUGGUUCUCCUCAUUCCUAGUGCUGGGACCCUUUAAUACAUUUCCUCAUGUUGUGGUGACCCCACCACCACCAUAAAAUUAUUUUCAUUGAUACUUCAUAACUGUAAUUUUUUCUAUUGUUAUGAAUAGUAAUGUAAGCAUUUGUGUUUCCCAGUGAUCUUAGAUGACCCUGUGGAAGAGUCAUUCCACCCCCAAAGGGGUCCCCACCACAAGUUAAGAAUUCCUGCCAUAGAGGAAUCACAAGGAACCAAUGAAUUACACUUUGGGUCGACUUUUGGGCUGGCCUCUGGGAGGCGCUAGAGCUAAAUGACAGCUACAUCAAUUCUGAAACUUUGUGUGUGUGUGUGUGUGUGUGUGUGUGUGUGUGUGUGUGCCCUGAGUCGGGGUGCUGAGAUAGGCCAGUGGCUUUAGUGUUCCUGGACCCAUUACUCACCAGAAUUCUCCCCUCACCUGAUUCUUUGAUGUGAACACUAUGUCUUGUUGGCCUGGAUCUCACUACCUCAACCAGACUGGCAUGUGACUCUGCUGAGAUCUGCCUACUUCUGCCUCCUGGGUGCAGAGGACAAUUUUUGGAAGUUAGUUCUCUUCUUCCAUCUUGUGGAUUCCAGGGAUUGAACUCGGGUCAUCAGGCUUGGCUGCAAGUGACUUACUUAGGUGUCUCCCAGACCCUCUCGGUUUGAUUAGUUAGAUGCUGCACUUCAUGCCUGACUUUCGCACUAUGUAGAUAGAGCAAUGUCUAUAACAUCUCCUACAAUGAUAUGUAUAUCAAGAGCCAAGUGAUGAGAUGGCUCAGUGGGUAAGAGCACAGACUGCUCUUCCAAAGGUCCCGAGUUCAAAUCCCAGCAAUCACAUAGUGGCUUCCAUUCCCUCUUAUGGAAUGUCUGAAGACUGCUACAGUGUACUUACAUAU
ensembl:lincRNA Gm26802 predicted gene, 26802